rnacentral:rRNA from 1 species
GACGAACGCUGGCGGCGUGCUUAACACAUGCAAGUCGAACGGAAAGGCCCUGCUUUUGUGGGGUGCUCGAGUGGCGAACGGGUGAGUAACACGUGAGUAACCUGCCCUUGACUUUGGGAUAACUUCAGGAAACUGGGGCUAAUACCGGAUAGGAGCUCCUGCUGCAUGGUGGGGGUUGGAAAGUUUCGGCGGUUGGGGAUGGACUCGCGGCUUAUCAGCUUGUUGGUGGGGUAGUGGCUUACCAAGGCUUUGACGGGUAGCCGGCCUGAGAGGGUGACCGGCCACGUGGGGACUGGGAUCGGCCCAGGAGCCCGAGGGGGGAAGACGGGGGGGAAUAUCCAAAAGGGGGGGGAGGCUUAAGGCAGAAACCCCGGGGGGGGAAUGAGGGCUUGGGGGUGGAAACCGGGUUGCGCUUGAGACGAGGGGGGAGGGAGGUAAAGGGAAAAAGAAGCCCCGGCAAACAACGUC